GCUGUGUGACAUGCGGACAGGCUAUUUAACU
rnacentral:piRNA from 1 species